AUUGAACGCUGGCGGCAGGCCUAACACAUGCAAGUCGAGCGAGCGGCGGACGGGUGAGUAAUGUCUGGGAAACUGCCUGAUGGAGGGGGAUAACUACUGGAAACGGUAGCUAAUACCGCAUACCAUCAGAUGUGCCCAGAUGGUGUUAGCUCGUAGGGGGGGUAACGGCUCACCUAGGCGACGAUCCCUAGCUGGUCUGAGAGGAUGACCAGCCAAACUUGAACUGAGAGACGGGCCAAACGCCGACGGGAGGCAGCAUUGGGAAAUAUUGCACAAUGGGGGCAAGCCUGAUGCAGCCAUGCGGCGUGUGUGAAGAAGGCCUUCGGGUUGUAAAGCACUUUCAGCGGGGAGGCGUUACCCGCAGAAGAAGCACCGGCUAACUCCGUGCCAGCAGCCGCGGUAAUUC
rnacentral:rRNA from 1 species